UGACCCCUACGGGGGGCAGCAGUGGGGAAUAUUGCGCAAUGGACGAAAGUCUGAACCAGCCACGCCGCGUGAGGGAUGAAGGUACAGAGUAUCGUAAACCUCUUUUGUCAGGGAACAAAGGCGGGGACGUGUCCCCGGAUGAGUGUACCUGAAGAAAAAGCAUCGGCUAACUCCGUGCCAGCAGCCGCGGUAAUACGGAGGAUGCGAGCGUUAUCCGGAUUUAUUGGGUUUAAAGGGUGCGCAGGCGGUCUGUUAAGUCAGCGGUCAAAGCCCGGGGCUCAACCCCGGCCCGCCGUUGAAACUGG
rnacentral:rRNA from 1 species